ACGAUCAUCAGACGAGAUAAUUUACGGUGACCAUCAGAGACCUGAGGAUGGCAGAUGCUGGACUGUACAGCUGUGGAGCUGGAUGGGGAGAAUAUAAACGAAUCCAGCUGAAUGUGAUUAAAGCUCCACAGAAAACAAGGCCUGUCCAGAUCUCAACAUCCACCCUCCAUCCAGAUCAAACUCUGAGCUCAUUUUCAAACACGUUGCCUCAUUUGAGCACAUCAGACACGAAGCUUCAAUCCAGCACCAUCACGAUCACAGAUCAUCACAUCUCCU